UGACGGUACCACUUGAAUAAGCUCCGGCUAACUACGUGCCAGCAGCCGCGGUAAUACGUAGGGAGCAAGCGUUAUCCGGAUUUACUGGGUGUAAAGGGCGUGUAGGCGGGACAUCAAGUCAGAUGUGAAAGCACGAGGCUCAACUUCGUGUCUGCAUUUGAAACUGACGUUCUUGAGUGUUGGAGAGGCUAACGGAACUCCUAGUGUAGCGGUGAAAUGCGUAGAUAUUAGGAAGAACACCAGUGGCGAAGGCGGUUAGCUGGACAAUAACUGACGCUGAGGCGCGAAAGCGUGGGCAGCAAACAGGAUUAGAUACCCUG
rnacentral:rRNA from 1 species